UUUUAAGUCGUAAGAAUUUACGUAGGUAUAUAAAGAGAAGAUACAUAACGUGGUGCAUUUCACUGCCUUUAGCUGAGAUAUUGUUCUUUUGUUAUGGAUACAGAAAUGCACACGGGACAAGGAAUCAUCCAGACCUCGAUGCCCAAUAACUUUAAUAAAGAUAAGUUACAGUAAUCAACCAAAAAUAACGAUAUAGGCAGGUACAAAAUACGAUAAUUGCGUUUUAUUUUAAAUUUAAAUCCGGAAGAUCGUUAGCGUGCCAGUAUUUGAAACUGUUUAACAUUAAGAUAUAUUCGUAUGAAAACAGAUUGAAUCAAACAAAGACAGGAAACACACCAUAAAAUAAACUUAGACGCAUACAAAGAAAGCGCGCAUUCUUAAAAAAAAAUUACAACAUGGUAGCAAAGAGGUUCAUAAUUAUUUACCAUCACUCAGCGUUAUCGAUAAAACCUAUUAAAUUGUUUUGGAAUUUGAAUAAAGAUAUGAGAGAAAAAUAUAAACGGAACUAACUUAAAUCGGGCUAAGUAUUGUAAAGCAAAAUGUUUAAUUAAAUUGUCAAGUUUCGAUUUAGGAGAAUAAGUGGAUAUUAGAAGUCGGUUCUUUUUUAAAGUUCAAAAAAUCUUGGAUUUUACUGGCGUGGCGUUGGGGCGCUAUACAUAUUGAUGCUAUAGUGUUCAAAUAAGAGGUUUCAUUUCGAUAAAUAAAGAACAUUUUUGUUUAAUUAAAUCAAUUGGAUUAAUUGUGAAGAGGAAGGGAUUUCAUUAACAGAAUGGAAAACGAUGUCAACUAAUAUUUCUCGGUAGGCCGUCAGUCUCAAUGUUCGUAGCUUCAAUAUAUUUAUUAUUAGGCAAACUUAUCUGGAAAAAUUCAUCAAAACGAUUUAGGUACUUGUCAAAUAUCUUGUUUUUUGAAAGCUACCGCUACACGUGGUACCCGACAUAAAUAGGCAGAUCGGCGAUCCUUGCAGGCUCACAAUAUACCUUACUACGAAUAACACACCAGUUAGGUAAGAAAACCACGCGAGCCGUCUAAUAAUUAUAAAAAAAAAACGAUACAUAUUAAUUUAAAUACUUUGCAAACUCUAAAUCACGAUUCUCUACAGCAACUCAAUAAUGACAAAACAACUAACAAGAUCUCCGUGUUUUGUUCGAGAGUAAAAUUCGCAUGCCUCUCAAGAGUCGAAACGAUUAUAAUUUAUCACAAACCGUAACAUUCAAUGACAUUAAGCUUCGAUCAACAAUAGUAACUAGAUUUCGGGUCGGCGCAAAAAUCCGUCUCGUUAAAUAACAGCGCACUUGAAAUGUGAGCUCUUAUUUUGUUUAGUUCACUCCAGACACAGCCAAUGUCAACCCGUCUCACAAUGCCGCAGUGUGUAUUCAAAAAUUGCAAAAAAUGCCCGAAAAAGCAAUUUAACGGCCGGAGUAUCUUACUUUCGCUUUCCUAGCAAUCACGUGUGCAGAAUGGAUCUCGAGUGUCGCCAGAGAAAGAAGAGAUUACUUUUAUAAGCCAGCUAAGAACUCCACUCAUUGACACUGGACAUCUUUGCCUUCCGUGUUCACGGCUACUGAAACGUGGCCGAAGCAUUGUAAUAAAAAUAUCGCGCUUAAAACCGUUUAAA